GACGAACGCUGGCGGCGUGCUUAACACAUGCAAGUCGAACGGAAAGGCCCUGCUUUUGUGGGGUGCUCGAGUGGCGAACGGGUGAGUAACACGUGAGUAACCUGCCCUUGACUUUGGGAUAACUUCCGGAAACUGGGGCUAAUAACGGAUAGGAGCUCCUGCUGCAUGGUGGGGGUUGGAAAGUUUCGGCGGUUGGGGAUGGACUCGCGGCUUAUCAGCUUGUUUGUGGGGUAGUUGCUUACCAAGGCUUUGACGGGUAGCCGGCCUGAGAGGGUGACCGGCAACAUUGGGACUGAGAUACGGCCCAGAGUCGUACGGGAGGCAGCAGUGGGGAAUAUUGCACAAUGGGCGGAAGCCUGAUGCAGCAACGCCGCGGGCGGGAUGACGGCCUUCGGGUUGUAAACCGCUUUCGCCGGUGACGAAGCGUGAGUGAAGGUAAUGGGUAAAGAAGCACCGGCUAACUACGUG
rnacentral:rRNA from 1 species